rnacentral:tRNA from 1 species
GCGUCGGUGGUUCAGUGGUACAAUACUCGCCUGCCACGCGGGUGGCCCGGGUUCGAUUUCCGGCCGACGCA